rnacentral:rRNA from 1 species
AGGGUUGAUCCUGGCGGAGGCUACUGCUAUUGGGGUUCGAUUAAGCCAUGCAAGUCGAACGAUUCUUCGGAAUCGUGGCAAACGGCUCAGUAACACGUGGAUAACCUACCCUUAGGACCAGUAUAACCCCGGGAAACUGGGGAUAAUCCUGGAUAGAUGAAGUUGCCUGUAAUGGUUUUUCAUUUAAAUGCUCCGGCGCCUAAGGAUGGGUCUGCGGCAGAUUAGGUAGUUGGUAGGGUAAUGGCUUACCAAGCCUAUGAUCUGUACGGGUUGUGAGAGCAAGAGCCCGGAGAUGGAACCUGAGACAAGGUUCCAGGCCCUACGGGGCGUAGCAGGCGCGAAACCUCCGCAAUGCGAGCAAUCGCGACGGGGGGACCCCAAGUGCCACUCUUAACGGGGUGGCUUUUCUUGAGUGUAAAAAGCUCUUGGAAUAAGAGCUGGGCAAGACCGGUGCCAGCCGCCGCGGU